UACAGAGGGUGCAAGCGUUAAUCGGACUUACUGGGCGUAAAGGGUGCGUAGGCGGGAGCUUAAGUUAGUUGUGAAAGGCCUGGGCUUAACCUAGGAACUGCAAUUAAAACUGGGCCUCUAGAGUUGAGUAGAGGGGAGCGGAAUUUCCGGUGUAGCGGUGAAAUGCGUAGAUAUCGGAAGGAACACCUGUUGCGAAGGCGGCUCUCUGGGCCGGUACUGACGCUGAGGAGCGAAAGCGUGGGGAGCAAACAGG
rnacentral:rRNA from 1 species